rnacentral:rRNA from 1 species
UGGGGGAUAUUGCACAAUGGGCGAAAGCCUGAUGCAGCGACGCCGCGUGGGGGAUGAAGGCUUUCGGGUUGUAAACCUCUUUCGCUAUCGAACAAGGCCCGCUUAGGGUGGGUUGAGGGUAGGUGGAGAAGAAGCGCCGGCUAACUACGUGCCAGCAGCCGCAGUAAUACGUAGGGCGCGAGCGUUGUCCGGAAUUAUUGGGCGUAAAGGGCUUGUAGGCGGCUUGUUGCGCCUGCUGUGAAAACGCGGGGCUUAACUUCGCGCGUGCAGUGGGUACGGGCAGGCUUGAGUGUGGUAGGGGUGACUGGAAUUCCAGGUGUAGCGGUGGAAUGCGCAGAUAUCUGGAGGAACACCGAUGGCGAAGGCAGGUCACUGGGCCAUUACUGACGCUGAGGAGCGAAAGCAUGGGUAGCGAACAGG